GUGGCGAAGCCGGAGCUCCUGGAAGCUCGAGUGGUGGCGACGAAUGAUGGGUCUCAGAGUGAGGUGCCUCCUAGCCCCUACUCCCUCCCUUUUUUUUUUAAACAAACAAGCUCGGCUGCUAUGAUUCCACGUGGAUCACUUGAGUCAGGACGAGCUGAUUUAAAGCUGCGUCGGUGGUGAAGUUGGAGAAGUCUGGAGAAGUUGUGACGACCUCCUCUUCGUCUUUUGCUUUGUUUUUAAUCACAAAUCAAUGGUGAUGAGCUCGGUUUGAGGCGACGUCAAUUGUGAUUAGCUGAGACAACAUUUGAGGAGCUCGGCGAGAUGAUGCCUGUGCAUUUGAGGAGCUCGGCGAGAUGAUGUCAGAAGCUCUGGAUUCUCUCUUGUAAAUGCCAAGCUUUUAUAUCCUUGGUUGUUCCUCUUUCUUGUGCUUCAAAAUCAACUAUCUUCGAGUCGAAAUUCUAGAGUGAACAAACCAAAUCUCCGACGAUAUUUGACGUGAAAGGAGCGGCGUUAGAUUUUGCUGUGCAACUUUCUCGCCACAGUUCUGAAGCAAGGAAAAGGGGAAAGUCUCAGAGGUACUUUGUGAAGUGUUCUUCGUAAAGCUGCUGUUGAUUAUUGUUUCCAGUGGAGCUGGAAUUUUUGGAACGGCAUAGAAGACAAAGCCAGAGAAGAUCCGAUACUGAGUUUCCAAGAGAGAACGGUGAAAAAGCAAUCAUUGAUCGUUGCCGCGAAUGGUUGUCUUUGAUCCGCAUCUGAUUCGGUAUUCAGAAAUUCAAUCAAAUAUCCACAUCGCGAUUGGUUUUCUAGUUAUCGGAGAGAAGUGCCAUUGGGGAAGAUGUUGAAGACCGAUGAGUUAAGGGUGAGUUUGUGAACUGCUCACGAAGAAUUUAGCCAUGACGAACUGAGACAGGGCCAUGGGAGCUCGAUUUUGCAUAUACCGAUCUGACGAGCUCAAGCAGAGCCAACAAACUCGAGCACAAUUUAUUAAAGGUGAUGAGGUCAUGGAUUCCAUGGAACGUGGUCGUGUAGUAGGCGUCUCCAUAGAGAAUUAAAAACUGAGUCGUCGAGCUCUCGUCGGGUGAGGGAGAGUCUUUGCUUUGCCUGUCAUAGGAGGAAGAGCCGUGUAAAGAAGAAAACCAUAUAAUUUGAUUUUGUGUCAUGAAGCGUGAAUUAGUUAAACAUUACGUUAUACCAAUUGGUUAUUGUAAACCAUUGGUUAUUGUAAAUCAA